UAACGAUCCUACGUAACUCCAACGUUAUCUGAAGGAAAUUAAUGACCACAUAAUUGGUAAUCUUUCUUACCUGCUCAGGAUGUAGCAGAGACGUAAUUACAGAACGUACUGACAAUGUAACAACGUUCGUACCAGUUUGGUAACGAUCCUACGUAACUAAAACCGGGAAAUAUUAACUCCUAUUUUUGUUGCUACAACGUACUUUACUUACAAUGUCAUUACUGCCACCACAUUGGAAACCACGUAUUCCAAAUAUUUAAAAGUUCACCUGAAGAUCUUUAGAGUCACAAGAAUUCCCCAAUCAACGCAAUUCAAAUAGUUCUAUAUAAUCUCCCACAACACAGACGGAAUGCGUACACAAAUUAUAAACCGAUGUGCCACAGUUCGCGUGUCCCACCAUUUUUUGUUUGUUAUAGUUUGUACUCCUAAAUAGUCGUCAGAGUUUACAGUAUCUCAGCAGACAUAACCGGUGGCUAUAGCACGUUCAUUUUACUCCAAUUUAAGAUAAUUUAGAUUUAUGUUCUGAUUUAGUCAUGACUGUAAGUUUUCACCACUACUCGUCAGCUACUGUGGUUAGCUUACAUUAGUAUUUAUUGCUAUUUAGAAAUGUUAUAAUCAUUAAUGUUAAUCAUACUUUCGUUUAGUACUGUAAUAUACGUAGCUAACUACUACAGGUAGCGCACGUUUUCUUUUAAGGCAGACCUGGGCAAGAUAAGGCCCCCGGGCCGGAUCCGGCCCGUUGGUUAAAAAAGUAAUCUGGCCCACGAUGCUCCCUGGCAUUUUCAGUGUGGCCUCCCAGUGAAAUAUAUUGCCCACCCCUGUUUUAAGGUAUACAUGGCUAACUAGCUACUGCAGCUAGCAAACGGUACUGUACGACUACGUUUAACAAACAUCAGUUUAGUUUGUUAAGCCGACAACAUUUCUGGAGCACUGUCAUUAUUUCGGGAAAAGGAAUCUCAGGUGCCACAACGGGUCCAACGGCAGAGGAAGGUGAAGUUAGAAUUGAAGACCUCUCAGACUCAUUUCUGACAACAAGGAAGAGUAAAGUGUCCGUCUUUGCUUGUGUGAUUGUAUUUUGUCAGUUGGUUAAUAUUAAAUGUGUAUAUUUUUUGAAGGCGUGAACCAUAUUUAAUAUAAUUAAAUUGUAUGAUG
ensembl:lncRNA